ensembl:lncRNA
UGAAUGAUGGAGAAUCUUUAGAACAGAAAAGAGUGUGAGCUUUCACAAUGUUCUCAUAGCAUUAAAAUACCAUUCCUACAGUUGCCAAUAGUUUUUGUGAAAAAAGACUGUGAACUUAACGUGAACCUGAAUUAAUCCACUGAUGAGAGCAGAUGGAAGUCUCCUUACAAUUACCACCCCAGAAGAUUAAAGCAUGAAACUGGUGUUGUGGUGACUACGGUGCUUACAAAAAUUACCACUUACAUCAAAGUUACUAAAUAUUUCUAGACUCUUCACCAACUAUUUUAAGCAUUGUUAUUUAUUUUAUGUACUAUUUCAGUGGCAAAUUGUCAUUUAAGGCUUCUAUCCUUUUUUUUUUGUGUCAGUGUUAUCCACCACAGAUCAAGACAUGUUUCUGUCAAAGGACUCCAUAAUCCAUUCCUACAGAAAACCAUGCAUCAAGUUCGCAGGAUGAGGUUCUGAUAGAUGAAGCACUCACUUACAUGGUGACAAGUAGAAAUGGUUAUAUAAAAUGAAAUAUCAUUUAAGCAAGUGAGUAAUCCAAUCCAUUUUAAACACAGUCCUUAAUGGGGAGGAUGGGGGGCACCUUAAAUGUAAGCAGAUGAAUAAUCCAAUCCCUGUUGUGCUGGCAAUACGUAUAUUUAAACACAUUAUUUUAAGUGUCUAGGAGGCCAACAAAACCAACUUUCCAUACUAUUUAUGCCUACUGUACCCAGCCAGCUUGCAGGGCAUCAUCAAAAACUACUCUGCUGACAUCAGUAGUGUUUGGUUUUGGCCCCUUAUACAAUUUAACACUGACAAUCGUAGAGUGAAAGUGAGUUUAGCAUCAAAUUUAUUCUUGAUUGGAAAACAUGCACAACAAAUGUAAUUACUGCACAAGAAAAAGUAUGCCUGAGAUGGACUCCAUAGAGAGGAUGUGGUCACAAGGGCUCUCUUGAGCAAGAACACUGUGGUGCCCAGCUUUAUAAGCUGUUUUGGCACAUGCCCUUGACACCUCAUGCUGAAACACAGCUCCUGCCCUCUGAGAUCAUUCUCCUCCACCAGGACAAAUCCCAGGGCCUACCUGCUGCCUGCUAUCCAGAGAAAAAGGCAUAGUUCAGGAUCCUGCAACACAGGAACAGCAAACCUGCUAGUUUGCAGCACCAACCAUUUCUCCAUUUCACUGAAACUCCUAAAUUACCACAACAUAAUAUACGCCUUUCUCUUUUAAGUCCUGAAACUUCAUUUUGCCCUGCUUUGAUACGUCACCCUUCUCUACGCAUUACUGGGAUGCCCUGGAUCUGCAGCGCACCUCACUGUAGGGAUUCCACCCGUGUUCACACACGUCCUUCCACCAGCAAAGCCUCAGUGUCACAUCAAGAGGCACAGACUCCCUGCUGUGCAGACCUCUUGUUAUCAAGAGAUUGUUGAAAAAACACAGCGCAGUUGCAAGGACUUAUCCCUGGAUGUAAAUAUGUUUCAAAUUAAAGCAGAACUAGAAAUGACUGCAACAUAAAGAAAGCUCUGCUGACUGGAAAAUCUGCUGCACAGUCUCCAGUUUGUGUUCCCGGCUCGGGCAGGUACUGUACGCGAACACGGACGCCAACACCCGAGGGCACGGAGCGGAGCGCUGCUGCCGCGUUCCUGCGGCUCCGAGGCCGCAUCACCGGCACCGAUCCCGUGCUUCAUCGGUGGGGAGGUUUUCCAUUCCUCCUCCGCAGCAAACGGAACCAGCCCAGAGCAGACAGCGGGCGGCGGCGGCGGGGGUGGGAGAGAAGAUCAGUAAUAACAACAACCGACAACGAAAGGAAACAAAAGGGGGAGAAGGGAGAGAGAAGGAAAAAAAAACAACGUUGCAACUGUCACCGUUUUGCAAGCGUCAGAUUAGCGCUUUGUCAUAACGUGACCACACUGUUUCCGAUAGGUUUUCCAACCCGUAAUCGUUUGUAACGUCUCAGCUAUGAAUCGGGAAAGCAAAAUAAAAAGCAAAAACACUCUGAUGCUUUGGGUUUAAAAUGCUUUCUAGAGUGGGGAAAGUGGAGGUUUCUAUUUUCUUGCGGCAGUGAGAAGCGAAAUAGCCGCGUUUUACCACUUGGAAUAACGCCAUAAUCUUGACGAAGGGAUUCAAACAUUUAAAGAUAACAGAUGCGCUGUAGCCCGACGGAGCGGUGCCCGCCUCGUCACGCUCUUCCCUUUCUCAAGGUCAGCUCUGAGCAAGCGGUAGCUCCGCUCGUACGCGUCGCGCAGCGCACACUGCACCGCGGUGGCAGACACGGAGCUAAUCCAAUCCUUACCUCAAUUUUCAACGUUUUCUUUUGCAUCGAUAAAAUCGAACCGCUUUAGAACCGUAUCCACGGCAACAACGCACAGGCUGAGCUAGCGGCAAGCACCUUGCCUCUCUGCUGCUUUCCUCUUGGAAGGAACGUUCGAAUUAAGCGGUGAUAACGCCAAGGGGCCCACUUCGGGAAAUUCACGGGGUCGGUUCUCAGCAGCAUACCGAAGGGAGAAAGAAAAAAAAAAAAAAAGGAAGGAAAGAAGAACGGAGGACGGAAGGAAGAGAGCCGCCGUUUGGGGCGGCCCUGGCUCCGCUCCUCUCGUCACCGUGACCCCAACCCACCCCUCGGCAAAGCUCCCAGCCGUCAUGCCUCAUCUACACGAAGGCACAGCUCCAGAGCGGGGAAUUCCAUUUCCUAAUUAAAAUCUCGUCAGAAGAACUCAGGGAUCUGCGCUUCUGUACUCCCCGGGCGUGCGAACACCGCAGCAAAAUCAAUGAGGCUGUAUUGCGCGGCUUUGGGCGUACUCUCUGCGCCUACUUCGACUCAAAGGGUCCUUCUGAAGCUGAAAAUUUGCCCUGAGGCGCUGUUAUUUCUCAAAUCUUUCAGGGUGAAAUUAACGUACAGACGUUUCUUUGAUCUGGCGGGGAGGGAAAAUCUCGCGUGUUGUCAGAGGUUAAUUUUCAGCUACUAGAGGAGUUCUUGACUUGAAAUAUUUUACUUUCCUCUGUAAAAGUUACUGGUUUGCUUUCCGUGGUCGUUCGGCGGGCCGAAGCCCCCACGCCAGCAUUCAGCAACGAGCACGGCCCCGUCCAGCAAAAGGUGGUGCGACCCUUCCCGCCCCUUCGUGCCAAACCCUUGCCUUUCUCAUUACCCGUAAAACGUUUACAGCCUCUCGGCCGAAGGCGUUUGUCGGGAGCGCGCCUUUACGAGUAGUGCCGCAGCGGCAUUCCGCCUAACGCCUCCCUUCCUGAUCCUAUUACCGGCCCUGGUUCGCCGCUUACGGGCAGUAAAAGUCCCAUUCGGGAAGCGGGCAGAGAGCCGCGCAGGUGCCGGCUGCGUGCAUUAAUAAUAAUUGUCCUGAAUUGUUCUUCAAGGAAAAUAGCGAUUCCUCCCACCCUCCCCCCCGCCGCUCUCCGAGCCCCUCCGUUCCUCACCCCGCAGGAUGGAGGGGAAGGGGAGCAGCGUCCGCUGGAAGAAGCUCUUCGCGUUUCCUUUCUCCUCCGGCUGUGGGACUCGCACGCAGCUCCGCGCCCUUUAGCAAACACCGAGGGGAAGUGGGGGAAAAAAAUGCUAUUGACCGAAACGAGUGUACCUUUGGUGGCCGGGAGCGAUGCUGCUGCUCUCCCUUAUUUCGGGACUGAUGCACCUCGGGGAUCCCGGGCUCCUCCGGUAGCGCUCCUCAGCCACCUACAACGGCACGAAGUUGGGUGUAAGGCACAGCAGCCGGACGCACACACACACGUUUUUGGCUGCUGGGGGAGGCCCGCAACCCACUGAUGCCAGGCAGCUUCCCCCCGCCCCUGGGCGCACUCACCACAUCUCUGCCCCCAGACCGCGGGGAAACCCUCGCCCUCCAACAAUUCCCUUCCUUCCCUUCUCUCUCCUUUUUUCUUUUUCCUUUUUUUUUUUGUUCCCCCUACCUUUCCUGAGGGCUGUACUGCGGCCGGGCUCGUCCUGCCCCCGACGCGCUGCCAAGCAGCCGCCCACCCCCACCCGAGACUCUCCGGCCGUCCGUCGGCGCGGUGUCCUGGAAGGCCGGGCAGGGGGGGGACCCGGAGAGCCUCGGCCCUGCCGAGCAGGGGGGUCUCACUCGGUCAACCCCCCCCUUCCCCCCCAGGACAAUGGGCGCCCCGACAGCUCGCCCUGAGCCGGCCCCACAGCACCGCGGAGAGCCGCCGGCCCGCUUUAAGAGCCGGGCGGGACGGAGUCCUCCUGACACGGGCGUUUGAUUUAAAGACGUCUCCCGAGAAACGCAAAUAAAUAACUUCUCGAGGAGAAAAUGAACCCGAGCCCAAAGCUGACAGGGGCUGCAAACGCUAAAGAUGUGUACGGACGGGAGAAAGAGCAAAAGUAAAUAAAUCUUGGUUACCUAAUUGAAAGGCAGAAGCGAGCCCUUUGUGUACACAGCGCUUCAGGAAGAAGAAAACCAGAGCUCGGGGGACGCGAGGAGCGCGGCGCCCGCCCGGGGCUGCUCUGUGCCGUCGGGGAGGCUCCUUCGGCGGCGGGAGGUUGACCCCCGUCAGCUGAGGGCGGCCUCCCUCAGCCCAGAAAACGGAGUAAAAAAGGAGCUAUAGGAAGAGCCCAGGAGCUUCCGUGGCUGCGGAGCUAUUCUCCUGGGAGAGUACAGAGGGGCACUUCUCCCCCGAAACGAGAGCGAAGGGACGUGAGGGGAAGCUGGAAAGGUGCGAAGGUUCCUCAAAUCGGUUAUAGCGUUAUCAUCUGGAAGAAUCUCCGAAGCCGUCCAAUUCUGAGCAAGUAUGACAAAGGAUCGACAACGAAUGUCUGGAGAGGACUGCUCGGUGUCUCUCGCGAUCACUGGCAAGUUCUUCUCCCUGGCUGUGUAAUCAUUCCCAGCACCUUCAAAGACGUGCAGGCUGACACAUACCGCCAACCCUUUGUGCUGGUACUGUGAAGCAACGGCACGCCAGUGCUAAGAACUCAGCUUCUUGCACUCCGGUGUGGGAGAGCAGUACUGAGGGAUGCCCUGGACACACUCUUUCACUUCCUAUAACCCUCACAGUAAUUAAUAACAACUACGAUUAACCGCUUCAAUUUAAUAUCAUACAGUAUUCUCCACUCCCUUCCGUUUUGCUGUGCCAAUCGCAUGAAAACUUCCUGAUGAGCUCCAAGUAACCCCUCUCCAGGACGUCAAGGACAGCUUCACCUACCAGCCCUAAACCCAUAUGCAGCAAUCUCACCUCGUCACGUCAGCCUCCCUCUGGACAUUGUUUCCAGCAGCAGUUGCAGCAAAGCCAGCAGGCUGCCACCUCCACAAGCAGAGCGCUCAGCUCUGCUCAGCUGUCUCCGUUACAGACAAAAUCAGUUUGUUAAUGCUGAAUUGAUGUGCAGAUCUCCAUACCUCUAACAACAAAAAGGAGUGGUUGUUCUGAUACCUCUCCUGUCGACAUCUAUGCAUUGUGGCUGCAAGUUGGAAGCGCCUUUGGAAUUGUUGUGUAAUAUUCUUGAUAUGCAGGUGCACAACUGGGUGUACCAGGAAUGGAGAUGUUGAAAAGAGCCUCUUCAGUGUCAUUAACACCAUCUGGUGUAGUGCACUCCUAAAACAGUGCAGUUCUGGGAGAGACGCCACUUCCUUCUACUGUCAUGAUUUCCUGACAUCUCAGUUUUCCAACUAUGGGAAAUGAUGUUUUGAAAAAGCAGUUUUGACACAUGAAUACAAAACUAAUAAUAAUAAUAAAACUUAAAUCUUAUUAACUUUUAAUAAGAUGUAACCAUUCACAAGGCAUGGAAGAGGAGCUGCUACAAGUUACGUGGUUCAAAAAUCUUAAAACAAACCCAAAUCUUUGCACCUAAAUUCUCAGAUUCCUGCUUUUUUAAAAGAAAGCUGUUACCAAAAGUGGAACACAAGUAGGCUGAUGAGCGCAGUCCUGUCACACUAGACCAUGAGGGAAGGUGGGGGAUAUGAGCUGGUCUGCAGUCAGCACAGCUGCUCCAGUUGCCCAAGCUGAGCACCCUGCCCAGCACUGCUGAGCCCAGCUGUGAAUGAGCACAGCCUGUUGCUUGGGCAGCACUUCUUAGUUUGGCUACCUUGCAAAUGUGGGCUAGGCUGUUUUUAGGAAGUCUCUGUGUUCCUGUCGGGAGUAGAAUGAAAAGGCAGUAACGCACACACAUUUGCACAGUUGUAUGUUGAGCUUUAGUGUAUUUAUCAUCUUCUCUAAAGAGCAGCUCAGUGCAUACAAAUUCAGGAAUCUACCUUUGAUGAUGAGAUGGCAUUUGCACAGAACAGGACACAGCUGAAAUGGAGUUGCUUUUAAAUAACGCUUUAUUUGUGUGUGGCUUUUAUUUUAUUAUUAUUAUUUUAAGAAAGCAAUGUGAACAGUGCCUUACAGCCAAAAAUUAGCUACUUCACUGCUAUGAAUUAAUAAACCCUAUUACAUUUAUGCUGUGUUUUAAAGAGCAUUAGAUUUCAGCCCUAUCUGACUUAAAAGCGAUAUAUGAGAUACACAAACUCUUCCAAAGAAUUGUUUAUAUGCCAAAUCUCACCCUUGUAUUUGAUUUAUUGUUCAGUGCUUUCUGUCCUGUUACAGAAUCCAAAACUCAGCCAUAGUUCAAAGUAUUCAGCCAUUCUGGCAAACCUAAAUUUGGCUCUCCUCUUUCCUGCAAUAGAAGGCAUUUUACCCUCACUACCAGAAGGCACUGGCAUGGAAGUGACAACAAGAAGGAAAAACUGCAGAAUUCUUCUCCUUCUCCAAUGAAGUAUGGGAGUGCACUGUGUUGGUAGAGAUGCUCCAGAAUGCAUACAGUGGUUAGAUCAGAACUUUUCUCCUCUCCCUGAAGUCAGAAAACAUUACUUCGAUGUGGCACUUAGCAUCUUGAUACUCAAGUGCUGAGUCCUUGUAGAGCUACAUAAGAAUAUUCAAAGCUAUUAAAUAUUGUGUGAUUUGUUUUUGGCUGCUGAAACCUGCCUGUGGGGACAAAUCCCAAAAGCCACAGCUGUGGGUAGAGUACAGUAACAGCUUUAGGAUUAAUGAGGUAAAGAUUUGGUUUCCAAUAUUUAAUUGGACUUCCAAAUUUUUAUUUUUAUUUUUUUUUCUGCAUUGCUUCAAUUUCAUAACUGUGUACUUUGGGACUUUAAAGUUUCCAGUGUACCUUGAACUGGGCUCUGCCUAACCAUGAUUAAACCCCGAGCCCACGUGGGAUCAAGAAAAUAUAAAUAAUAAUUAUAAUAAUAAGCAUAUCAUUGUUGUUAUUUCUUUAGGAGAAACCAUAUUUUCAGCAGAUAAAAGAAAAGUAAGAAAUGGAGUCAAAGAGUUACCUUUCCAUGGGUAUUGGAAUAUUCCACUGAGCAUUUUGGUUUGUCAGUCAUAAAAAAUUAGGCAGUUUUGUCCAUUCCUGAGCAAGCUAAGUGAAACGGGGGAUAGGUGGGGCUAAAGACACGCCUCUGAUCUCUGUGUUUCUGACAUGUUUUGGUCACUUCGCUGCAUCCCUGUGCUGGACCAUGAGCACUGUUCGCCAUUCCGCUGCCAGCCCCGGGGAGGUCCCAGCUGGCGCAAGGCCCAGGUGUCCUGUAGGGGAGAAACCCAGUGGCAACAUGCAUGUUGAACGUGUGAUGGAGCUGGAGCACUGGGCUCGCUGUGAGCAGCGUGAGGCUGUGCGAGGGCUCAGGCAGUGCUGACAGCAGCUGGGGAAAGGAUUGCGGACAGACGUUUGGAAAGGAAAGGCCAUGUGCCAGAUGGCAACCAACCGGCAGAGCCCGGCGCUGGGGGGGCGGGGAGGAGAAGAAGAAGAAAAAAAAGCCCUAAGCAGGGAACUGGUCUUGUGGGGGCAAUGCAGAUUUCAUUGUGAGGUAUUAAAAAAAUAAUAAUAAUCCACACUGGCCGCUGUUUUUCCACAGGGCAACUUUUUAUCAGAGACCUGUAGCAAAAACAUUGCAAAAUCUCACCUCGCUUAUUUGUAAGUCAGAAAGCCAUGAAGGAAAUAAAAAGCUUUCUUCAAGGAGAGUUUGAUGGGUUGUUUAGCCUGCUCUGUCAUUUUUCUUGUCUCUCUUCAUAACCCCUAUGCAACCCAGAAACGGCCAGUAAAAAAGAGAGAACCUCUGCUUGUUUAAUUACUUCCUGAAAAUUUGAUAACUACUACUUCAGCCUCAUUGGAUAAUCUACUUUUAAAUUGCCUAGUCUUUCAAAGACAGCAUAAUUAUUUGAGCGCGCUUACUUCCCUAGCUAUACAUCAUGCCUAUCAAAAUUAAAUGUUUCCAACAUACCAUUGCGGCAUUUUAACAUUUCACUUCUGUAAUACAUUUAACAGUAUAUUGACCCCAUACUUCCUUUUUAACAAAUUUUCAUACCUCAGGCAGUGAAGCACUGCCAGAAGAUGGAUCUUUAGUCUCUGACUGGGGAAUUGAGUAAUUUAAGGAAUGAUAAAGAGACUCAUAAUACGCAAAAUGUGGCUGUAAUGUGAUGUUUAAGAAUUCCUUCCUUUAUUUCAGUUUGAAGAGACUAUUUCAUUAAUAGAACUAAUUUUUGAACAAAGUUAUUUAAGCAGGAGUCAUCUCAUGAGUUUGCAGUUUUGUUACGCGUUUACCCAGAAUGCGUGUUUUUUCAAAGGGAUUCUGUGAAGAUUUUAUUUCAAAAUGAGAAAAGCAUUUAUUAAAACUGAAGAAGAAAUGAUACAGUCUGUUCUGUUCAUUCAGCAGACCCACAUUUUAACAGGAAAAAUGGUGCGUUUCUGAAAUAUUAUUUUUCUAUGUUCCAUAGGAUUAUUCCUACUUUAAUAUCAUCACCAGGAAAAAGAAAAAAAAGAAUCCUAAAGAACAGGUAUUGGUAAAUCAAUAAACUAUGCAUUGAGUGCGUGUUCAGAAUGCAACCACUGCAACAGAAGUGUGUGUUUUUCAAGGCUGAAAGGCUCCCCCCUGUACUUGGAUUUAUUGAAUAAAGAAAUGGGAGGCUAGAAGUGGCUCCAAAUACAGACUUUAGAGCACUUCUGAGCAUUCCUCUCUCAGGAUAUGCUGAAUUUGAGGUUUGGUGGUAUUUAGUUGACCUUUUUUAUUUUUAUUUUUUACUUAUUUUUUUUAACUUGUACUGAGUAACAUCAGUAAGCCACACUUUCAAAAGAGAGAAAGGUUUUAUUUGCAGAAAUGCAUGCAGAAUGUAGAGGCAGAUCCUGUUGGUGUAUGUACUGCACGUGUGAGUGUGCAUGCAAGCCAGAAGACUGUCUACAGCACAUGUGCAGGUCAAUCCAGCAUGAGCAAAACCAAAAGCAAACGAGGUAAAGAAACAGCACGUAAAGAAGGGGGAAAAAAAAGAACCCCCCCUUGGUUCUAAAUCAUCAUAAAGACUGCAAUAUCCUGUUAUCUAUUGUAGUAACAUCAUAUACAAAAUAAAGAAACAAAUGUUGCCCUUCUGUGAAGGGCAGAUAAUAAAAGAUUGAUUCAUUAAAAAGAAAAAAACAGAGGAGAUCAGAAAUAUGCUGUUUUAAGAGUUAUGCUAAAGAAAAACACAGACAGACUUAAAUUCUAAGCAGCUUGAAUUUCUUCAUUGUGGCUGUUACUGAUGUCUCACGGAGUGAACAGCAUAGAUGUGAGAUGAAGAACAAGCAAAAGAGAUUGGAUGUCUGGUACCCACAAACCUGUUCCUAAAACCUAUUGAGCUAGUGAAGAAGAAUUUUGUAUGCUGAUCUUCAUUUAUUUUUUCGUACCACAAACCUUAAAAAGACAGAAGUAAGAGCACCAAUGUAAUAAAUGCCUGGGGAGCUGACAACAAAUGCAUUUCACCCUAAAGAUUACUCACCAUGGAUUGGCACACGUUUAAAAUACUCAUCCAGAGUGCCUCUUUGAUUCUGUUACUGUGGUUAGCUAACAGCAGUUAGGUAGAUGUUAGGAAGGUACGUGUGUCAAACUGUAACAUCAAAUGACAAGAAAAUAACUACACUAGUGCAGGCAUGACAUUUUUAAAUUCCAUAUCAAGGAAUUAAAAUGUUACCUACCUUUUUCUAAAAUUUGGGUCCAAAAUGUCAUUGAUUACUAAAAUGAUUUUUAUCCUCCUUCAUACCCAAAACACACUUCAGAGUUUGGGAAAUAUUCAAAAUGGCAAAUCUUGCUUGAACUUAGAAAGCUUUUGCAGGAGUAACAGAUGAAAUAAUAAAUAAUAUUCAUAAAUAAAUCUUCAGCUCUUACCCACAACAAGAUCGACGCAACAUGGUAUAGCAAAGUGAAAACUGAUACAGGAGUAUAUUUAGAGAAAAUCCAUAGAACUCACAGGAAUGAGCUUCAGCCGAGGAAUGUUUGCCAGAUCUGGAAGGACUCUCAGUAAUCAACAGUGCAUAUGCUUAGAAAGUGUACAUGUUAUGGCUGCUGAACAAAAGAAUUAAAUGCCAGCAGUUGGACUCUCGGGAUCUCAUGUAGUCCCCUACAGAAGUCUGGCCAGCUAGUGGCAAGUAUUCUGCACUACCCAAACUUGCAGUACCCACAUAGCUGUCCAAGUAAGACAUUUGCUUAGGCAGAAAGUGUGCUAAGGGAAGGGAAUAACCUUCCAUAUCCUGACAUCUGCAUCCAUGCUUUCAGCGUACUUGGUCUGCUAGCAUGCAUAGCUAGUGCCAUUAUAGCAUAAUGCCAGUUUUACUUGUACUGAGUAUUAAAUGGCACACACAGCUUCAUUCCACAUCUGAGCUUUUUGUUUUCUCAGUGGCUUAGACAGAGUGCGUGUGUAGAUUAACCAAAGUUAUUAAGAAAGAAGGAACAGGUCAUCGUUUAUUUGUAGUUCGUUCGGUUUGAUUAAUCAUCGGUGGAUUUGGAAAAUUUCUGUAAUGAACUAAACAAAAAUGCUUCUGUUCAGAAGAGCACUCCCCAACCGUUCUCACUAAGUAUCCCAUGCUUGCUUAAUAUUUAAGGUCAGAAUAGUCACAGUAGAAUUAAAUCACGGUUCUGAACUGAGCUAUGCUCACAGUGAUUUAUCAAAGCGGAUUAGAUCUUAAAAAUCAAUCACUCUAAAUGAAAGAAUUCCAGGUGACGCCCCACAUGGAAUUAAUAUCUAAUUAAGGAUAACAGUCUCAAAGGGGGGAAAAACAUUCUUCUGUAACUCACGCACGUGUAUCUCUUUCUAACUUUUCUUAAAUUACAUAGAAACUGUCGCAGUAGCUGCCAUAAAAACUCUACACUUUUGUUUCAGCCUGUUAUCAAAUUCAUGUUACCCUGUAUGCCCACAUAAAAUAAUAACUAACCACUCCUAAAAAUCUUAUCUAAUAAAAAAGACUUGUACAUAAAUCAGUUUCUGAAUAGAAGUUUGACCUCGACUUUUUAUAAGAGCAUUUUAAAUCUCACCGAAGGGAAGGGUUCUAAAAAAUACCUUAAGGAGAACUUAUUUUGAUAGCAGUUCAUAGUAAUCAUAAUAAUAAUAAAACCUACAUUUCCUCUCUUUCUCCUGGUUUUGUAUGCUCUGGGGCUGUUCUUGAACUGUUUGAAUUUUAUUUCAUACUCCCCACAUUCCUCUAAUGGGGUUUUGCAGAGCUGCUCUGUGACAGCCAUCAUACAAAUAGUUUUCUGGGUUUGAAAUUUGUCUGGGUUACGUGCACACUCCUUGGGGCAAGGCUCAGGGGAAAUCCCCACUGUGGUGAGACCUGUUUCCCAAUUGAUUAUGAUGGAGCUGGCAUUUUGUAAAGAAAAUACAUUUGUGAGAGCCAUGAUGUUCCUGUACAGGUAGAGUGCUAUGAAAAUAGAAACAAGUCAGCUACUGUAGUUAAACAAGUACUUCCUUAUUCUUAGAAAAAUAAAGGAAAAUACGUUUUAAGUAAAAAUAAUAAGCUCUUUUUAAUAAUGGAUGAUUUUGUAACAAUCUGCUACAAUCUGCUGUUAAAAAAAGUCGUCUGGGCCAAAGAUUCCUUUCCUCCUCAAAGGAUUUCUUUUUACUUAUUUAUUUCUUUGACUUUGAAAAAGGGUAAGAAUUAUUUCUUUAAACAACUGGCUGCAGAUUAAAAUUAACACUGUACGUUUCAAUUAUUAUCAAUUCAUCAAUGAAUCAAGAGAGCUGGUAUCUUAUUUUAAUUAAAAUAGUUCCAUCAGAUAACCUAAGCCUCUAAAGCCAUAUAUUUGAUUUUAAUUAAAAAAAAUUCUGGUUGUGAUCAUUGUUCAGAAUUAAUAUACCAAAUAAAAUAUGGGAAGAAAAGAGGUAAGGGGAGGUUAUAUAGUGUUACCUGAUAAAAGGAGACAGUAAUAUUUAAAAUGAGGUAAGUGUUACACCGAUUUAUGAUGUAUUUUAUCUUCUGGAGAAACCCUAGUUUAUCGUACUGUCGUUUAGUUUGAAACGUCAGCUGUAUAUCUUUCUGCUUUCGAAUGUUACUCUAGGUUGAAAGGAAAAGGUUUGCAGUGAUGUGAUGUAUAAGCAGAUCAAAAGCUUGGCAUUUUUUUCCUGGGAUAAUUCACUUUUAUAUUGAAAUAUUUUUGUUGUCAUAUAUAUAUAAAUAUUAUAAAUAUCUUAUAAAUAUUUUGAAAGAAUAUUAAUUAAUAACACUUAACAAUUCUCUCAUCUUUAUAGCCCCAUACAAACAUCUACUAAUCAGAAAGGAUGAAGAUGUUCCUUUUGUUUCAGUUCCCACUCAAAUUAUCAUGUAAACAUCCUAAACCCUAACCCACUAGCACUAAAAUUUCUAUUUUUACUUUCUUUUGAAAACAAAACAGAAUAUCUUCAUUCACAGUCUGCUUUUCUUUGUAUCUGUAUCAUAUUUGCAUCAAGAGUUUUGCCAGUAUAGAAGGGAUUUAAUUUGUAAGAAAGCAGAAGAGCUCGAGUGGUGGACUUACAAAUAAAUAUAAAUUUAAUGCCCAGAUAGUGCCAUACUGCUAAUGGAUUUAUUCUCAACAUAUACUCUCAUCAGUUGUAAAUUAGACUCCACCUCCAUUGUGUAUGUUUAUAAGUUUUCUAAGUUCUCAAAAAAACAAAAGUAUGGGUUUCCCUGGCCCCAAUACCAAAACAUCAGGGCAAACUAAGUCAGCCUCUAAAUCAAUCACCUAAUCUUACCAUUUAAAAGUGAUGUAUCAGCCAAGAGCCAAACUAACCCCUACGUCACCACUUGCCAAAGGAGCAGGGCGAGCUGAGGUGGUGCUUUCCUUUGGCUGCAUGGUGCCAAGGAUGGUACCAAGUGUUGUUGGGCUUUUUCCUAAAAUUACAAGACAUAGAAGAUGCAAGAUCUCAUGUGACUGAAAAGAGAAGAAAUGCUGUUCAUCUGCAGGUCAACAGGAUUCCAUUUCUCUCAAGGUAGCAGCUCCUCCCUCUUCCUGAUUUCCAAAUACAGGAGAAAAAAUGACCCGUCACUUCUCAGUGAUGGCUGUCUAACAGUGCUGGGCUCCUAGCCUUUAGGAUUGCACCAGUGAACCAUUUACCAUUCAAAAUCACAUCAUAGCCAUGGAUGGCUGAGCCCAAAUGCUUGAAGACAUUUAUCCAUCCAAUUUCAGCAUGCACAUGUAUAUCCAAUGCAGAAUAUUUUUCUAAUUUUCUUUGCUUAGAUAUAGUGAUAUAUACACACUUCAAAGAAAUUAGCUGAAGGAAAAAAUGUUAGUCUUCAUUUGUACUCACAGUGGGUUGUUUUGCUCUGCAUGAACUAAUGCUGGCUGCCCCAAGCACCACUGUUUAUUUCCAUUUACAGCAAUUUGAAGGAUAAUGUAUAGUUGUAGUAUAAGGAUUAUAGUUGCUUGCCGCUGCUGUCAGCACACAUUAUUAAAGAAGUUCAAGCCCUCAAGUCCCAUGACCUUCCACUUUUUAUCUUUAAAAAAGCAACUCUUGGUCAAGGUUAUCGUAGAUUUAUUCACAUUGUUUUUCAUUUCUGUAUCUCUUCACUUGUUCCCAGGGUAAAUGGGAUAAUAAUUAUUGUAAUCUACAAAGCUUCAACAUAUUUGCCUCAUGAGAGUUCAG